rnacentral:misc_RNA from 1 species
GGGCAUCCUACCAUCUAUAUCAUAUGGUGGGGGGAAGAAUUGUAAGUAACAAAUUGAAGCCACAGUCAGUCCUAGGAGACCUCCAGCAAAUACAUCUUGCCAAUGGUGCCAGUAAUCAUCAACCCGGGAAACUGCGACUAAUGCCGCCAUCAGUAAGGGCAGGAAAACAAGGCAGAGCUUAGCAACAUGGCCUCUUUGAUCAAACACCUUGAUUUUCCCUGACAGGUACCAAGCGAGGAAGCCAAGACCAGCAAAAGACCAAGAACUAUGUCCGCUUGGGAAACUC